GAUGAACGCUGGCGGCGUGCUUAACACAUGCAAGUCGAACGAAACACCUUAUUUGAUUUUCUUCGGAGCUGAAGAUUUGGUGAUUGAGUGGCGGACGGGUGAGUAACGCGUGGGUAACCUGCCCUGUACAGGGGGAUAACAGUCAGAAAUGACUGCUAAUACCGCAUAAGACCACAGCACCGCAUGGUGCAGGGGUAAAAACUCCGGUGGUACAGGAUGGACCCGCGUCUGAUUAGCUGGUUGGUGAGGUAACGGCUCACCAAGGCGACGAUCAGUAGCCGGCUUGAGAGAGUGAACGGCCACAUUGGGACUGAGACACGGCCCAAACUCCUACGGGAGGCAGCAGUGGGGAAUAUUGCACAAUGGGGGAAACCCUGAUGCAGCGACGCCGCGUGAGUGAAGAAGUAUUUCGGUAUGUAAAGCUCUAUCAGCAGGGAAGAAAAUGACGGUACCUGACGAAGAAGCCCCGGCUAACUACGUG
rnacentral:rRNA from 1 species